AUUGAACGCUGGCGGCAGGCUUAACACAUGCAAGUCGAGCGGAGAUGAGGUGCUUGCACCUUAUCUUAGCGGCGGACGGGUGAGUAAUGCUUAGGAAUCUGCCUAUUAGUGGGGGACAACAUUCCGAAAGGAAUGCUAAUACCGCAUACGUCCUACGGGAGAAAGCAGGGGAUCUUCGGACCUUGCGCUAAUAGAUGAGCCUAAGUCGGAUUAGCUAGUCGGUGGGGUAAAGGCAUACCAAGGCGACGAUCUGUAGCGGGUCUGAGAGGAUGAUCCGCCACACUGGGACUGAGACACGGCCCAGACUCCUACGGGAGGCAGCAGUGGGGAAGAUUGGACAAUGGGGGGAACCCUGAUCCAGCCAUGCCGCGUGUGUGAAGAAGGCCUUAUGGUUGUAAAGCAAUUUAAGCGAGGAGGAGGCUACUGAGACCAAUACUCUUGGAUAGUGGACGUUACUCGCAGAAUAAGCACCGGCUAACUCUGUGCCAGCCGCCGCAGUAACAC
rnacentral:rRNA from 1 species